rnacentral:lncRNA from 10 species
GAGGGACCCAGUGGGAGGUAAAUGAAUCAUGGGGGCCGGUCUUUCCCAUGCUAGUCUCAUGAUAGUGAAUAAGCCUCACAAGAUAAGAUGGGUUUAUCAGGGGUUUCUGCUUUUGCUUCCUCCUCAUCUUCUCUUGCUACCACCAUGUAAGAAGUGCCUUUCAGCUCCCACCAUAAUUCUGACAUCUCCUCAGCCAUGUGGAACUAUGAAGUCUUGCUCUGUCGCCCAGGACGAUCUUGGCUCACUGCAACCUCCACCUUCCAGAGAUGGGGUUUCACCAUGUUGACCAGGCUGGCCUAAAACCCCUGAUCUCAAGUAAUCUGCCUGCCUCGGCCUCCAAAGUGCUGGAAUUACAGGCGUAAGCCACUGUGCCAGGCCCAUUUCAUGCUAUUCUUUAAAUUUGCUUCCUUUGUAAAUGAAGACACUAUUAAUCAGUUUAAUUUUAAUGUGUCCAAUAGAAACUAAAUGCUAACUAUCGAUUGCAUGCUUAAUUACUUUUACCUUUGUCUUAACUCUACUGUUCCUUACCUAACUUUUUAUAACUACUUUCUGCAUUUUUGCAUCUUCAUUUUCCACCCAUUUUUGAAUAAUAAAAGAAAAUAACAAUAAAGCAUUAAAAUUAUUUUUAACACCAUUGUUCAAGAAAACUUAGAGAUACUGUAUAACCUAUAGAAAGAAAUCAUAAGAAACAAACACUUGUUUGCUGAUUACAAACCUCUAAAUUUGGUGUAGGAAAGGUCAUGUAAGAGUUUCAGUGCAUAAUUCACAAAAACACAGAUGUAUUAAAAGAGCAAUGUAUCAAAGUCAGGAGCAAUUUCUUCUGUUCCCUGUAUUUCAAUAUCUUUGCCUUUUACUUUGGAUUUGUAGGAUAUUUGCAUAUGAUGGGGAAACAUGCUAGUAUACCUUCAGCAGGGAAAUAUACGGAGUAGAAGAAGGAGAUUGAUUGGGCAGCACUGGUAAAGAAAAGGAAAAGAAUAACAAUAUUAACUGAGCACUACCCAGGUACCUAAAGAUGCACUUAAUUAACUCACAUAUUCCUCACAGCAAUUCCUUCACUCUUUACACUAAUAUUUCCUUAGCACCUCCAAUGUGCCAGGCACUGUGCUUGGUAGAUUCAAGGACAGACAAGACAAAGCCUGUCUCUGCCCUUGGGAAACUCAUAUUCUAAUAUAGAAAACAAAAAGGUAGACAGACAAAC